rnacentral:rRNA from 1 species
AGUGAACGCUGGCGGUAGGCCUAACACAUGCAAGUCGAACGGCAGCACAGUAAGAGCUUGCUCUUACGGGUGGCGAGUGGCGGACGGGUGAGGAAUACAUCGGAAUCUACUUUUUCGUGGGGGAUAACGUAGGGAAACUUACGCUAAUACCGCAUACGACCUACGGGUGAAAGCAGGGGAUCUUCGGACCUUGCGCGAUUGAAUGAGCCGAUGUCGGAUUAGCUAGUUGGCGGGGUAAAGGCCCACCAAGGCGACGAUCCGUAGCUGGUCUGAGAGGAUGAUCAGCCACACUGGAACUUAGACACGGUCCAGACUCCUACGGGAGGCAGCAGUGGGGAAUAUUGGACAAUGGGCGCAAACCUGAUCCAGCCAUACCGCGUGGGUGAAGAAGGCCUUCGGGUUGUAAAGCCCUUUUGUUGGGAAAGAAAAGCAUCAGGUUAAUACCCCGCUGUUCUGACGGUACCCAAAGAAUAAGCACCGGCUAACUUCGUG